AAAAUUAAAACGAUGCUCAUGUACCAUGAAAGAUAGUUUAAUAUACAUUAAUACAAAUGUAGAAUUUGUUUAGAAAUUUUAAAAUAACACUAAAUAUCAUAGACUACAAUAUAUAGAAUAUUUACUGAAAAAUUCAAUAUUUUUGUAGGGGUUCGUAGAUGAGAAGCAUCCGAGAAGGACCGGUCAUCUUUUAUCGUGUAAAGAAUAUAUGACAAAUCUGAAUAAGUUAUAUUCCACAACUACAUUAAGCAUUAGUUUCUGAUUAAAUUUUAAUAAAAAUAUACUGAAUUUGUAAAUUGAUUACUACUAGUCAUAUCCAUAUCUGGAAAAUACAGGACCAAUCGCAAUAACUUUUAAAAAGAGUAUAACAUUUAGAGAUGAUUAACUUCACCUAAAUAAAACAAAUACAGUUAACUGAAAUACGAAAAUAAUCUUAGUAAGAUGGAUGCAAGUCAAAUUGAAAGUCGGUGGGAAACUGUUUGAUCACUUUCAUAUGAUCACGACUGAAUCAAUAAAGACACUUUUUAUAGAUUGGUGCAAUUGAUAUUUUUAAUUUUAUCAAUAAUAUACUAUAUCUUUUUAUAAAUUUCUAAAUGAUGGAAAUGCUAUAAAUCCAGAGAGAUAAGAGAGACUGGAAAAGUUACUUUUGACGCCUGACGGAUCUGAUUAACAUAACUAAACUAUAUGUAACUGCAAUUAUUAAUGUCUACUUAAAUAGUGCAGAAUAUUUCAAGCAGAGAAUACUUAGAUCAAGCAUCACAUGACACAACACAACUUCGCCAGUCUCCAAAUUGUCAGCUUUAUAUAAUAGCCCGCAACUCACAAGUAACAACCACAAGAUGCAAGACACACAACAUACUCGGCUCGUUUUUGUUUGCAAGGCUUAUUCCGAUAUAUUAAAUUAUUAGUAGACUGUAGAGUCAUCAACUCACCUAAAGGCUAAAACCACAUGCUUAAUAACAAAUAAAUCUAUUUUAUAUGGGGUUUUCAAUUACUUUCUUAAUUAUAUCCCAAAGACAUGAUUUAAGAAAUGUAUACUAUUUUAAAGACCCACACCAAAUACCGAGUUAACCCACUAUAAAACGCAAAGUUGUCUCUGUGAUCUCUCUGCUCAAUCACUCGCAUUUAAUAAAUAGUUGUCACUCCUCUCAACAGAGUUAUUCCUACUAGUAAAAGUUUUAGCUCAGAUCUAAUCUCAAUGGAAAAAUAUGAGCGACUAAGUGAAGAAGAAACUUAUUGGUGGAUACCAUUUAAGUUCCUCGACCAAACCCUUAAAGCUAUCUUUAAGUGCCUUGGUCUUCUUCAUCAUGAAUCCCCAUCUACGAAAACGGAGUCGUCUCCGGUGACUUCAACCCAGCCGUUACAGCAGGAAGAAGAAGAGGAGGAGGAAGAUGUUGUGAUGGAAGAAAACGUCAUUAUAACCAGUAGGGAGAGUAAAACCAUUGCGACGAGUAGAGGCACAAAGUUGAAAGCAAAGACAAAGAAGAAGGAACAGAAAAGCUCGGGCCGGUCUGGCCAACAUCAUAAAUACGAUCUUUAGCUCAUUUUAUUUGCAUUCUAAUGUGUUCUAUUUACGGUGCUCUCAGUGUUAUUUACGAAGUACAACGUAACAUCAUUGUUAUUUGUAUUUGUGUUUAAUGAUAUUAAGUACUUAUGCUA